UUCAUCACCCAGCAGGAGAGUCACCAAAAACUCAAAGGUGGUUUUCCCAGCGGAGGCCUAUCCAUUGCAUUCCAUAUAUGCCAACCCUUGCAAUUUCCCCAAACGUGGAAAGCUCGACUGCAUAAUUUGUGGUAAUUGGGGACUACAUUUGCGCUCUCCCCUA
rnacentral:snRNA from 1 species